GGGUCGAUGGCGUAGUUGGUUAUCGCAUCUGUCUCACAUAGAAAAUUUGGUACGUGUGUGCACAGGAGGUCCUCAGUUCGAACCUGGGUCGACUCA